rnacentral:rRNA from 1 species
UACGAAGGGUGCAAGCGUUACUCGGAAUUACUGGGCGUAAAGCGUGCGUAGGCGGUUUGUUAAGUCCGUUGUGAAAGCCCUGGGCUCAACCUGGGAAUGGCAUUUGAAACUGGCUGGCUAGAGUGUGGUAGAGGAUGGCGGAAUUCCCGGUGUAGCGGUGAAAUGCGUAGAGAUCGGGAGGAACAUCCGUGGCGAAGGCGGCCAUCUGGACCAACACUGACGCUGAGGCACGAAAGCGUGGGGAGCAAACAGG